CCCAAAAAUAAACGUCCCAGUUCGGAUUGUAGUCUGCAACCCGACUACAUGAAGCUGGAAUCGCUAGUAAUCGCGGAUCAGAAUGCCGCGGUGAAUACGUUCCCGGGUCUUGUACACACCGCCCGUCACACCAUGGGAGCCGGAAAUGCCCGAAGUCAGUGACCCAACCGCAAGGAGGGAGCUGCCGAAGGCAGGAUUGAUGACUGGGGUGAAGUCGUAACAAGGUACC
rnacentral:rRNA from 1 species